UACAGAGGGGGCAAGCGUUGUUCGGAAUUACUGGGCGUAAAGGGCGCGUAGGCGGCCUGCUAAGUCGAACGUGAAAUCCCCGGGCUUAACCUGGGAACUGCGCUUGUUACUGGCAGGCUUGAGUGUGGCAGAGGGGGGUGGAAUUCCACGUGUAGCAGUGAAAUGCGUAGAGAUGUGGAGGAACACCGAUGGCGAAGGCAGCCCCCUGGGCUAACACUGACGCUCAUGCACGAAAGCGUGGGGAGCAAACAGG
rnacentral:rRNA from 1 species